rnacentral:rRNA from 1 species
GAGUUUGAUCCUGGCUCAGGACGAACGCUGGCGGCGCGCUUAACACAUGCAAGUCGAACGUGAAGCCGGGGCUUGCCCCGGUGGAAAGUGGCGAACGGGUGCGUAACACGUGAGCAACCUGCCCCGAAGACUGGGAUAACACCGGGAAACCGGUGCUAAUACCGGAUACCCUCUUUUGAUCGCAUGGUCGGAUGAGGAAAUGGAUUCCGCUUCGGGAUGGGCUCGCGGCCUAUCAGCUUGUUGGUGAGGUAACGGCCCACCAAGGCGACGACGGGUAGCUGGUCUGAGAGGACGACCAGCCGCACUGGGACUGAGACACGGCCCAGACUCCUACGGGAGGCAGCAGUGGGGAAUCUUGCUCAAUGGGCGAAAGCCUGAAGCAGCGACGCCGCGUGCGGGAUGAAGGCCUUCGGUUGUAA